ACUCCAGGCUAUGGAUAAAUGCAUCAUAUGGUUCCUCCCUUUCUGCAGUGAGACUUUCUAUAACCUUCCUACCCUGAAGCUAAAUCAAAAUCAGCCAGUCAAAUCGGGAUAAACAGUUCCUUCGGAAAGUACUUUUCUACAUUUUGUUAGGUUACAACCUUAUUCUAAAAUGUAUUGAAUUGUUUUACAAUACCCCAUAAUGACAAAGCAAAAACAUAUGUAUUAUUAAAUGUUUGCUAAUUUAUAUAAAUAAAUAAAACAGCAAUAUAUAAUUAACAUAAGUACUUUGUUGAAGGACCUUUGGCAGCAAUUACAGCAUUGAGUCUCUUUGGGUAUGACUCUGCAAGCUUGGCACACCUGUAUUUGGGGAGUUUCUCCCAUUCUUCUCUGCAGAUCCUCUCAAGCUCUGUCAGGUUGCAUGGGGAGUGUUGCUGCACAGCUAUUUCCAGGUCUCUCCAGAGAUUUUCAAUCGGGUUCAAGUCCGGACUCUGGCUGGGCCACUCAAGGACAUUCAGAGACUUGUUCCGAAGCCACUCAGGCAUUGUCUUGGUUGUGUGCUUAGGGUUGUUGUCCUUUUGGAAGGUUGCCCAGUCUAAGGCCCUGAGGACUCUGGAGCAGGUUUCAUUAAGGAUCUCUCUGUACUUUACUUAAUUCAUCUUUGCCUCGAUCCUGACUAGUCUUCCAGUCCCUGCCACUGAAAAAUAUCCCCACACAUGAGCCUUUUACUGAGGAGUGGCUUCCGUCUGUACACUCUACCAUAAAGGCCUGAUUGGUGGAGUGCUGCAGAGAGGGUUGUCCUUCUGGAAGGUUCUCCCAUCUCCACAGAGGAACUCUGUUGCUCUGUCAGAGUGACCAUCGGGUUCUUGGUCACCAAGGCCCUUCUCCCCCAAUUGCUCAGUUUGGCCCAGAUGGCCAGCUCUAGGAAUAGUCUUGGUGGUUUCAAACGUAUUCCAUUCAAGAAUGAUGGAGGCCAGUGUGUUCUUGGGGACCUUCAAUGCUGCAGACAUUUUUUCCUACCCUUCCCCAUAUCUGUGCCUCGACAUGAUCCUGUCUCGAAGCUCUACGGACAAUUCCUUCGACCUCAUGGCUUGGUUUUUGCUCUGCCAACUGCCAACUGUGGGACCUUAUAUAGACAGGUGUGGGCAUUUCUAAAUCAUGUCCAAUCAAUUGAAUUUAACACAGGUGGACUUCAAUCAAGUUGUAGAGACAUCUCAAGGAUGAUCAAUGGAAACAGGAUGCACCUGAGCUGAAUUUCAAGUCUCAUAGCAAAGGGUCUGAAUACUUAUGUAAAUAAGUGACAUCUCAAUCAACCAGACAGGUCCUACAGGCCCUCGUUUUGUCGCACCUGGACUACUACCUAGUAGAAGGAAAGAAGGACAUAGGCCAAUUGCAGUUGGUCCAGAACAGAGCAGUACUUGGAUGUACACGGAGGGCUAAUGUUUUGACAUGCAUGUCUAUCUCUCCUGGCUCAAAGUUGAGGAGAGAUUGAUUGCACACUAUUGGUCUUUGUUGUAUUAUAUAUUGUAUUUUAUGUUGCAUUAUAUAUUGGAUUGUGUAUUGUGUUAUAUGUUGUAUUAUGUGUUGUAUUAUAUAUUGUAUUAUACUAUAUUGUAUUAUGUAUGUUAUUAUAUAUUGAAUUAUAUUUUGUAUUAUGUAUUGUAUUAUAUAUUGAGAAUAUUUUGUGUUAUGUAUUGUAUUUUAAAUUGUAUUAGGUGUGUCAUGUAUAAUAUGUAUUUUAUUUGUUGUGUUUUGUUUCCUGUUUGGACCCCAGGAAGAGUAGCCUCUGCCUUGACAGCAGCUAAUUGGGGUUCCUAAUAAAAUACUAAAUACGCA